UCAGAUCGAGUUAAAAAUGUAAUUUAAGAUAAAAAAAAAAGAACCAAGAGUCCCGACACCGAUCAAACCUGCUGAUGUUUUUGUUUUGUUUGUGUAUGUAUAGGAGAAUAAUGACAGAAGAGAAGUCACCAAGUGUCCAGCAAUCACGUGUCGAGCGCUCUCAUUUCUGUAUAUGCAUAUGGUUUGGGCAACAUGUGUCAAAACUUGGAUGGCGGGUUCGUUAUCAAGGCAGCUCCUCCUCCUCCUGCUAUUGCCCGAGUGAACACACUCCAGCACCGCCACCCGCCCGCCCGCCUCCAUCGCCUCUGUUUAGUUUGUACACCCCGGACAUUUUCCACACCGAUGAUGUACUAUAGUAGCAACGAAACGGACCGCCACUUUCUAUCAAUGACCUCGACAUCGUCUACAAUAGCCCUCCGUUUUCUGUAUGAGAGGCCUAUUGUCGGUGUUGUGCGCCAGGUGAAGACAAAAAAGGCCAGGUAAUAAGAUGAAAUCGCGAUUCGACUGUCGAUAUUCACACUCGAUUGCUAAAAGAACUGCUGGCGGCGUGGUGGGCAUUUGACCCACUUCCUAACAGACAGCUGGGGUGGAUGAAAAGGAAACGACGACGACGGAUUCCAGCAAUGGUCAGCGUAUUCCAGAAUUACCAGAAAAAUAAAAUCCACACACGGACACUCCUAACAGAUAGGGGAAAGGAAAUGAGCGCAGUCGUUUCCUUUGAAAAGUGAACGUGGUGCACGUGAGCCAAGACAGGGGAUGAAGUGAAGUAACUUGGGAAAUUCAGUUUCGAAAUUAAAUAGAAAAUCUAAAGGGUAAU